GUGUUGUAUGAAAAGAGAGAAGGUUAGCACUCCCCUUGACAAGGAUAGAAGAGGCCUGCAACACACAUACAGUUAAGGCAUUGCAACCUACUUGUUUUU
rnacentral:ncRNA from 1 species